UUCCGGUUGAUCCUGCCGGACCUGACUGCUAUCGGAUUGAUACUAAGCCAUGCGAGUCAUUGUAGCAAUACAAGGCAGACGGCUCAGUAACGCGUAAUCAACAUAACCUAUGGACGGGAAUAACCUCGGGAAACUGAGAAUAAUGCCCGAUAGAACACUAUACCUGGAAUGGUUUGUGUUCCAAAUGAUUUAUCGCCGUAGGAUGGGACUGCGGCCUAUCAGUUUGUUGGUGAGGUAAUGGCCCACCAAGACUAUUACAGGUACGGGCUCUGAGAGGAGUAGCCCGGAGAUGGGUACUGAGACACGGACCCAGGCCCUAUGGGGCGCAGCAGGCGAGAAAACUUUGCAAUGUGCGAAAGCACGACAAGGUUAAUCCGAGUGAUUUGUGCUAAACGAAUCUUUUGUUAGUCCUAGAACCACUAACGAAUAAGGGAUGGGCAAGUUCUGGUGUCAGCCGCCGCGGUAAAACCAGCACCUCAAGUGGUCAGGAUGAUUAUUGGGCCUAAAGCAUCCGUAGCCGGCUCUGUAAGUUUUCGGUUAAAUCUGUACGCUUAACGUACAGGCUGCCGGGAAUACUGCAGAGCUAGGGAGUGGGAGAGGUAGACGGUACUCGGUAGGAAGGGGUAAAAUCCUUUGAUCUAUUGAUGACCACCUGUGGCGAAGGCGGUCUACCAGAACACGUCCGACGGUGAGGGAUGAAAGCUGGGGGAGCAAACCGGAUUAGAUACCCGGGUAGUCCCAGCUGUAAACUAUGCAAACUCAGUGAUGCAUUGACUUGUGGUCAAUGCAGUGCUGCAGGGAAGCCGUUAAGUUUGCCGCCUGGGAAGUACGUACGCAAGUAUGAAACUUAAAGGAAUUGGCGGGGGAGCACCACAAGGGGUGAAGCCUGCGGUUCAAUUGGAGUCAACGCCGGA
rnacentral:rRNA from 1 species